rnacentral:lncRNA from 1 species
CAAGACGAAAAUUGGUUAAGAAGUACAUCCUUGUCAAUGAAGGAGUACUCAAAGAGGAAGACAAAAAGAUGGCUGCUGAAAAGGAACUAUCCAAAGAAAGCCAAAAGCACAAAGCUCAAGAUGAGGGGGAGAUACCUGAAGUUCUCACCCUAGAAAAUGCUCCAGCUGAGGGGGAGCUACUAGUCCUGUAGAUGGAUGAUCAUGUUGAGGGGGAGCCUCAUGAUAUCCCCAUUACAGAAGAAGCUAUUCCUGCAGAAAAUGAGGGAGAACCAGAGCAAGAACAAAAUGAAGUGAUU